rnacentral:rRNA from 1 species
GACGAACGCUGGCGGCGUGCUUAACACAUGCAAGUCGAACGACGUGUCGACCGGGUGAGUAAUAUGUGGGUAACCUGCCCUCCUUUUUGGGAUAAGCCUUGGAAACGGGUUCUAAUACCGAAUAACGGGGGUUGGGCUCGCGGCCUAUCAGCUUGUUGGUGGGGUGAUGGCCUACCACGGCGAUGCCGCGUAGCCGGCCUGAGAGGGUGACCGGCCACAUUGGGACUGAGAUACGGCCCAGACUCCUACGAGAGGCAGCAGUGGGGGAUAUUGCACAAUGGGCGCAAGCCUGAUGCAGCCAUGCCGCGUGUAUGAAGAAGGCCUUCGGGUUGUAAAGUACUUUCAGCGGGGAGGCGUUACCCGCAGAAGAAGCACCGGCUAACUCCGUGCCAGCAGCCGCGGUAAUAC